UUUUCCUCAUAAAAAAUGCGGUUAUACUUUAUUCAUGGAUGCCUUGUGAACCCCACGUGUCUUCAAAAGCCUCACACCAUGUUCUGAGUCUGCAACAGUUUCUAAAAGUUAAGA